rnacentral:rRNA from 1 species
GACGAACGCUGGCGGCGUGCCUAAUACAUGCAAGUAGAACGCACAGUUUAUACCGUAGCUUGCUACACCAUAGACUGUGAGUUGCGAACGGGUGAGUAACGCGUAGGUAACCUGCCUGGUAGCGGGGGAUAACUAUUGGAAACGAUAGCUAAUACCGCAUAAUAUUAAUUAUUGCAUGAUAAUUAAUUGAAAGGUGCAAUUGCACCUCUACCAGAUGGACCUGCGUUGUAUUAGCUAGUAGGUGAGGUAACGGCUCACCUAGGCGACGAUACAUAGCCGACCUGAGAGGGUGAUCGGCCACACUGGGACUGAGACACGGCCCAGACUCCUACGGGAGGCAGCAGUAGGGAAUCUUCGGCAAUGGACGAAAGUCUGACCGAGCAACGCCGCGUGAGUGAAGAAGGUUUUCGGAUCGUAAAGCUCUGUUGUAAGAGAAGAACGGGUGUGAGAGUGGAAAGUUCACACUGUGACGGUAUCUUACCAGAAAGGGACGGCUAACUACGUG